rnacentral:rRNA from 1 species
GACGAACGCUGGCGGCGUGCCUAAUACAUGCAAGUAGAACGCACAGUUUAUACCGUAGCUUGCUCCACCAUAAACUGUGAGUUGCGAACGGGUGAGUAACGCGUAGGUAACCUGCCUGGUAGCGGGGGAUAACUAUUGGAAACGAUAGCUAAUACCGCAUAAUAUUGAUUAUUGCAUGAUAAUUGAUUGAAAGAUGCUAUUGCAUCACUACCAGAUGGACCUGCGUUGUAUUAGCUAGUAGGUGAGGUAACGGCUCACCUAGGCGACGAUACAUAGCCGACCUGAGAGGGUGAUCGGCCACACUGGGACUGAGACACGGCCCAGACUCCUACGGGAGGCAGCAGUAGGGAAUCUUCGGCAAUGGACGAAAGUCUGACCGAGCAACGCCGCGUGAGUGAAGAAGGGUUUCGGAUCGUAAAGCUCUGUUGUAAGAGAAGAACGGGUGUGAGAGUGGAAAGUUCACACUGUGACGGUAUCUUACCAGAAAGGGACGGCUAACUACGUG